GUUUAAGAAGCUAAUGCAGCGGUGAACUUUUAAUUCACAGAUUGAUAAAUUUUAUCCUUAAAUA
rnacentral:tRNA from 1 species